GUGAGAAUCCCGUAUGUGACCGGCGACCAACCCCAUGUGAAACUCCUUCGACGAGUCGAGUUGUUUGGGAAUGCAGCUCAAAAUGGGUGGUAUAUUUCAUCUAAAGCUAAAUACCGGCCAGAGACCGAUAGCGCACAAGUAGAGUGAUCGAAAGAUGAAAAGCACUUUGGAAAGAGAGUCAAAAAGUACGUGAAAUUGUUGAAAGGGAAGCGCUCGCAACCAGACCUGCCCGCGGUCGAUCAACCGUCCUUCUGGGCGGUGCACUCGACCGCGAUCAGGCCAGCAUCGGUUCGGGCGGCCGGAUAAAGGCCCUGGGAACGUAGCUCCUUUCGGGGAGUGUUAUAGCCCUCGGUGUAAUGCGGCCAGCCUGGACCGAGGACCGCGCUUCGGCUAGGAUGCUGGCGUAAUGGUUGUGAGCGGCCCGUCUUGAAACACGGACCAAGGAGUCUAACAUCUAUGCGAGUGUUUGGGUGUCAAACCCAUGCGCGUAAUGAAAGUGAACGGAGGUGGGAACCCAUUCGGGCGCACCAUCGACCGAUCCAGAUGUCUUCGGAUGGAUUUGAGUACGAGCAUAGCUGUUGGGACCCGAAAGAUGGUGAACUAUGCCUGAAUAGGGUGAAGCCAGAGGAAACUCUGGUGGAGGCUCGCAGCGGUUCUGACGUGCAAAUCGAUCGUCAAAUUUGGGUAUAGGGGCGAAAGACUAAUCGAACCAUC
rnacentral:rRNA from 1 species